rnacentral:rRNA from 1 species
AUGGCCGGCCCACCGGCGAGCCCCUCCGGCGACGGCGGAAGCCCCACGGCCGGCCGCAUCGGGGAGGAGCGGGACGUGUUCGUGCCCGUCGCGGAUAUCACCCGCAUCAUGGGGAAGGUCAUCCUGCCAGACGGGAAGAUGGACGGGGGGGCUGUGCGGGAGCUGGUCUCCGAGUUCAUCACCCGCCGGGCGAGCAGCGAGAGCGACAGAUGCAAGAGGGCGAAGCGGGAGGCCAUGACGGUUGAUGACCUGCUGUCCGAGAUGGCGAAGCAGGGGUUUCAGGACCACAUCGAACCCCUCAAGGCCUACCUGCACAAGUACAAAGUGGAGCUACCUUGCACAACGGAGGUGGAGCCAAACCCCUUGCCCGUGUCUGAUAUCAGGGAUUAG